rnacentral:rRNA from 1 species
AUGGCCUCCGACCACCGCCUGGGCGCGCUCAAGGCGUUCGACGACACCAAGGCCGGCGUCAAGGGCCUCGUGGACGCGGGAGUCACGGCCGUCCCCGCCAUCUUCCACCACGCGCCCGAAUCCCUCGACGACGCGCCCCAUCACCAUGGCCACCAGUUCGCCAUCCCAGUCGUCGACCUCGCCGGCCUCGCGACACCGUUCGGGAGAGCCUCGGCGGUCGGCGCGGUGAAGGCGGCCGCCGAGACGGUGGGCUUCUUCCAGGCGGUGAACCACGGUGUGCCGGAGGCAGCUCUGUCGGCGAUGCUCGCGGCGCUGCGGGGCUUCAACGAGGAGACGGCGGAUGCCAAGGCGCCGUACCACACCCGGGACGACAGCCGGCGGGUGAGGUACCAUAGCAACUUCGACCUCUACCAAUCGCCGGCAGCCAACUGGCGUGACACGCUGUACAUGGAGAUGGCUCCGGAGCCGCCGGCGCCCGAGGAGAUCCCGCCGGCGUGCAGGGCCACCGCGCUGGAGUUCGCGGGGCUGGUGCAGGGGCUGGGGAGCACGCUGCUCGGGCUGCUGCCAGAGGCGCUGGGCCUCCGGCAAGGGCACCUGGAGGAACACACACAGUGCCUAGAGGGGCCGAGCCUCGCCUGCCACUACUACCCGGCGUGCCCGGAGCCGCACCUGACACUGGGCACCACCAAGCACUCCGACCCCGGCUUCCUCACCGUGCUCCUCCAGGACGCCGUAGGUGGCCUCCAGGUGCUCGUCGAGGAUGACAAGCAGCAGCCGGCGUGGGCGGACGUGUCGGCAGUGGCGGGGGCCCUGGUGGUGAACGUCGGCGACUAUCUGCAGCUCAUGUCCAACGACAGGUUCAAGAGCGUGGAGCACCGCGUGGUGGCCAAGAGCGCGGGGCCGAGGGUGUCGGUGGCCUGCUUCUUCGGGGCGGAGGGGUCGACGAGGGUGCUUGCGCCGAUCGUCGCUGACGGCGGCAACGCCCGGUACAGGAACACGACGGUGGACGAAAUGGCCAGGCACUACAGGGCCAAGGGCCUCGACGGCGUCUCCUCACUCCAACACGUCAGGAUCUAA